AGACUGCCUUCAACCACUAAGAGUUAAAAGUCACACUUACCCAUGGCUGUAACCUGGGGGGCUGGUUUGGGGCUUUAUCUUGUAGAAAACAGGACUGAAGGGUUAGAAUGGCUCCUCUUCUGGUCUUCAUAGCAUGACUCUGGGUGGCAUAUUGGUGCCUCGGCAUCAGACGAGCAGAGGGAAACGACACUCCUCACACUUCUGCAAGGCAGCACCUCAUGAACUGGAAGAUCCUCAGCACUGCCAUGGAGGUGGACCAGCACCAGCAUAUUUGUGUAUGCCAAAUGCCAGCAUCAAGUUAUUACUCUUUCAACAGAAAAAUAGUGUUCAUGCCAACCACGCUUUUCCUGUCUUGUAUCUGAAAACCUUCACUGGAUUAAGAGUUAAGGCUAAAAAGGCUAUUUUAGAGCAUGCUUUUCUUUCUUGUGUACAACAGCUAGUACAAUACCCCAAAGCAGAGUAGUACAGUGACUUUUUUCCUAAGUGAAAAAUUCCUGAAGGAGCAAAAAGGCAAUCUCUCUGAUAAUCAUCAGCUGCUCAACUAUAUUAAAUUUAGACAAGGCUACAAUAGUGCCAGAGUUGUCCCCUGCCCUCUAAAAUUAGAACUGAAAGAAUGGCAGGCAUAGUGCUAAAUAUAUAACUCAUUUAAAAAUAAUGUGCUCUCAAGGCUUUCCUAAUGCUUGAAAAACUGAUCACCAUAAAUCCCUACAGAUGUGCUUGCAGCCUGCCUGCCUCCAUCAGCCCAAACACAUUCCUGUGGGAUACAGCCUUUCUGAACAUCCUCUUUCCUCUACAGUGCUCAGGAAAGAGAAAGCAGUAGAGCUUCCUCGCAUUUAAACAACACACUGCCCAUUUAUCCAAGAAGACAAAAAUGUAAUCUGGCCUCCACCUCUUAUAUGGAAGAGGGGGGAAAAAAUAGGAGGAAAAUAGAAGAGAAAUAAACAUUUACUGUAUUCUCAGACCUAGCAGGUAGAAGAAGGGCCCGCUAUUUGAGAUCAUUAGAAGCAGUAGCUCUACAUCUGCAAGCUACAGGACAAGGAAAAAAGCAAGUUAAGAUACCUCAUCCCUAUUUCUGUUACUUAAAUCUCCCAAAGUCUAACUUUAAUAACUUCAGAACAACCAGAAACAGGACAGAUGAACAGCAGAUUUGUGGAGAGACUGAGGUACAGAACUCUCUUCCUCACUUCCAAGUUCAGAGCAACUCCUACUCAUUAAAAAAAAAAUAAAUAAAUUCUAUUUUCCUUUCCAACUUCAUCUAAGCAUUAAAAAAAAAAAAACCCUAGGAAAGCAUACAUAUAUGCAGAAGAAAGUAGGAGUAGGCUGAGGCCUUCACUGAAUUUAUAGCCAGCUGCAGCCUGUGGUGCAAAUUGGCCCAAAGGAAUGCUGGGAGCUUAGAGGACUUAACAGCCUCCAUCUUGGAGGGUGUGGGCUUUGAUUUGCCAUCUGUUUCUCCUUCUCAGUUAAUUUGGUUAUUAGAGCAGCUGUAGCAGAUGUUAAACCUCUGAGAAGAGUAAUCUGAGGGGGCAGAGAGGUUUUUGUGGAUGAAUCUGAGUGCCCUUACCUGUGCGCUGCAGCUCUGGGAGGGUAAUGAGCUCAAACCUGGUCUUUGCAAAACUCGGACCUCGCUUAAAUGCAAAGAUGAGGCCAAGUGGUCGUGCAUGAAGUUGGGCUGCUGCUCUUGGAGGAAUGUGGUGUGUGGAUCCAGCAAUAUGCAGGCAGGGCAGGGCUCCUGCCUGGGGCUGGUGGCUAUUUGCACAUGGGACGUCUUGAUUUGGUGUCAGGGGACCUGCAGCUGACUGAUGCACUCAAGAUGGAGCUGCCACUUUCUGUCCCAGAGGCCGCAUAUUUGGGGAAGAAAAGAAAUCUCCUUUCACAGAGGCCAAGUUUCAGCUGACCAGAGACAUAUGUUGAAGUAAAACCUGCAUUAUUUUUCUUAAGUGGGCCAGGACUGUGUUAUACAUCCAUACUUGCACUUUGCAAGUGAAGAAGAUGUUCUGGUGAAUGUUAUUUUGUCAUCUGGUAUCAUAAGUGAAGUGUCUCUGUUCCUGUUCUCAUGUGAAUGAAUGCUAGACAUCUUCUUGGCUUCCAGAGGGCAAUGUCAAACCUACAUGAGGAAGAGGUAUAACAGCAUUGGCUUGAGACACUCUUAAAAAGCCUCUUAAAUGAUCUAGGAAGGAGCAUUCGUAAGUGCUCCCCUUCCCUCAGAGGCAGUAAUGAGUCACUCCUUAAUCAAAACUGUCUAUGCAGAGCACUGUCCUGCUGGCACAAGAGCAAGCUUUGCCUCUGCAGAUAUUUAAUAUAACUUUUCUGAGAUUCUUUCUUUUGGAGGACCUGAGUGACCUUGCUCUUCUUUAGAUUAGGUUGUGAUCACAGAUUCAUUGUAGAGAUGCAGGGCGAUGUAAAAUUCCUUUCACCUCCUAUCUUAAACUCUGUCUUGUGGUCUUAGCUUGGGCUGCUGGGGAGAUUGCUACGUGCCCAUCCCUCUUCCAGCACUGCCAGUGUUCCAAUAAUGGGGUGAAAUGAUCUUCCUAUGUAGUUUGAAUAUCUUUUUUAUUUGUUUAUGAAACACUUUGGGUCGUUCUGUGAUACAAGGUACUGUACAAAUGGAAGUCGUUAUUAAACCAAUAAAAAAUAA